rnacentral:rRNA from 1 species
AGAGUUUGAUCCUGGCUCAGAAGGAACGCUGGCAGCGUGCAUAACACAUGCAAGUCGAACGAUGAAGCAUUCUUCGGAAUGUGGAAGAGUGGCGAACGGGUGAGGAACACGUAAGAAUCUGCCCCUCGGUCGGGGACAACUUUUGGAAACGAAAGCUAAUACCCGAUACGCUGUGGAGUGAAAGAAUUUCGCCGAGGGAUGAUCUUGCGUCUGAUUAGCUAGUUGGUGCGGUAAUGGCGCACCAAGGCGACGAUCAGUAGCUGGUCUGAGAGGAUGAACAGCCACAUUGGAACUGAGACACGGUCCAAACUCCUACGGGAGGCAGCAGUGGGGAAUUUUCCGCAAUGGACGAAAGUCUGACGGAGCGACGCUGCGUGAAGGAUGACGGCCUGCGGGUUGUAAACUUCUUUUCUCGAAGAAGAAGCUCUGACGGUAUUCGAGGAAUAAGCAUCGGCUAACUCCGUGCCAGCAGCCGCGGUAAGACGGAGGAUGCAAGUGUUAUUCGGAAUGAUUGGGCGUAAAGCGUCUGUAGGCUGUAUAGAAAGUCUUUUGUUAAAUACCUCGGCUCAACCGAUAUCCAGCAAAGGAAACUUCUAUACUUGAGGUAAGUAGAGGUACAGGGAAUUCCCGGUGGAGCGGUGAAAUGCGUAGAUAUCGGGAGGAACANCAAUAUGGCGAAGGCACUGUACUGGGCUUUA